GAGGAAUAUUGGACAAUGGGUGAGAGCCUGAUCCAGCCAUCCCGCGUGAAGGACGACGGUUCUAUGGAUUGUAAACUUCUUUUAUACUGGGAUAAACCUACCCUCGUGAGGGUAGCUGAAGGUACAGUAUGAAUAAGCACCGGCUAACUCCGUGCCAGCAGCCGCGGUAAUACGGAGGGUGCAAGCGUUAUCCGGAUUUAUUGGGUUUAAAGGGUCCGUAGGCGGAUCUGUAAGUCAGUGGUGAAAUCUCACAGCUUAACUGUGAAACUGCCAUUGAUACUGCAGGUCUUGAGUAAGGUAGAAGUGGCUGGAAUAAGUAGUGUAGCGGUGAAAUGCAUAGAUAUUACUUAGAACACCAAUUGCGAAGGCAGGUCACUAUGUUUUAACUGACGCUGAUGGACGAAAGCGUGGGGAGCGAAC
rnacentral:rRNA from 1 species